rnacentral:rRNA from 1 species
AGAGUUUGAUCAUGGCUCAGAACGAACGCUGGCGGCGUGCUUAACACAUGCAAGUCGAACGCGAAAUUUUUCUUCGGAAAGAGAGUAGAGUGGCGCACGGGUGAGUAACGCGUAAAUAAUCUACCCCUGCAUUUGGGAUAACCCACCGAAAGGUGGGCUAAUACCGGAUACGUUCUUUAGGUUGCGAGAUUUAGAGAAGAAAGGUGGCCUCUGAUACAAGCUACCGUGCGGGGAGGAGUUUGCGUACCAUUAGCUAGUUGGUAGGGUAAAGGCCUACCAAGGCGACGAUGGUUAGCGGGUCUGAGAGGAUGAUCCGCCACACUGGAACUGGAACACGGACCAGACUCCUACGGGAGGCAGCAGUGAGGAAUAUUGCGCAAUGGGGGAAACCCUGACGCAGCGACGCCGCGUGGAUGAUGAAGGCCUUCGGGUCGUAAAAUCCUGUCAGAUGGAAAGAAGUGUAUAUGUGUUAACAGCGCAUAUAUUUGACGGUACCAUCAAAGGAAGCACCGGCUAACUCCGUGCCAGCAGCCGCGGUAAUACGGAGGGUGCAAGCGUUGUUCGGAAUUACUGGGCGUAAAGCGCGCGUAGGUGGUUUGUUAUGUCAGAUGUGAAAGUCCACGGCUCAACCGUGGAAGUGCAUUUGAAACUGACAGACUUGAAUACUGGAGGGGGUAGUGGAAUUCCCGGUGUAGAGGUGAAAUUCGUAGAUAUCGGGAGGAAUACCGGUGGCGAAGGCGACUACCUGGCCAGAUACUGACACUGAGGUGCGAAAGCGUGGGGAGCAAACAGGAUUAGAUACCCUGGUAGUCCACGCCGUAAACGAUGUCAACUAGGUGUUGGGAUGGUUAAUCGUCUCAUUGCCGCAGCUAACGCAUUAAGUUGACCGCCUGGGGAGUACGGUCGCAAGAUUAAACUCAAAG